GUGAAUCAUCGAAUCUUUGAACGCAACUUGCACUCUUUGGUAUUCCGGAGAGUAUGCCUGUUUGAGGGUCAGUUAAAAUAAAAAUCGCUGUGGUUGCUGCCUUUCGUGGUGAUGUACCGGAUUUGGGUCGUCUUGACUUCGGUUAAGUGACUUAAAAUUUUGCAUGAUUUUUUUCGAACGCAUUUAAAUGAUUUUAGGAACGUUUGCGUUGUCGAAUACUAGGUGUGGUCUUCUUCA
rnacentral:misc_RNA from 1 species